rnacentral:rRNA from 1 species
UAACACGUGGGUGACCUGCCCUCAGCUCUGGGAUAAGCCCGGGAAACUGGGUCUAAUACCGGAUAUGACUCCAUGACGCAUGUUGUGGGGUGGAAAGCCUUGUGCGGCUGAGGAUGGGCCCGCGGCCUAUCAGCUUGUUGGUGGGGUGAUGGCCUACCAAGGCGACGACGGGUAGCCGGCCUGAGAGGGCGACCGGCCACACUGGGACUGAGAUACGGCCCAG